UACGUAGGGGGCAAGCGUUGUCCGGAAUUAUUGGGCGUAAAGAGCGUGUAGGCGGCCAGAUAAGUCCGCUGUGAAAUCUCGAGGCUCAACUUCGAGCUGUCGGUGGAGACUACCUGGCUAGAGUCCGGAAGAGGAGAAUGGAAUUCCUGGUGUAGCGGUGAAAUGCGCAGAUAUCAGGAAGAACACCCGUGGCGAAGGCGGUUCUCUGGGACGGUACUGACGCUGAGACGCGAAAGCGUGGGGAGCGAACAGG
rnacentral:rRNA from 1 species